AUGGAUUUGUUUCUCCCUAUCCUCUGCUAUCAGUGCCUGACAUCCCAAAGACCUCUUUCUCAGCCUUGGAUUAAUGGGACUUCAUUUGAUCCUGACUCAAAUAUGAUGCGGUCCGAUCCUGCCUCCUCACUGCAUCACAAAGGAGCUGUGGCAGAAGUGAGGCAUCCUGAUGAAAAUCCCCCUGGGCUUCAGGAGCAUAGAGCAACGAGGGAAAGCAAGAGGCAGGAGCUAAUUCCCAUGUGGGAAAUGAGAGCCUGGCAAAGCUUGCUGGCUUCUGUUCCAUUGCCAUUAGAGGAGAAAAUCAGAGAAAGGGCUGCAUCCUUCCAGGUGAAGCCUGGUCUUCAGGCUGGCAGGAGGAGUUUGGAAGUACCUGGUAGGAAAGGGGAACUGGGAGCCGCUGAGGCUGGGGAUGCUGACUUCUCAGUUUA
rnacentral:lncRNA from 1 species